AGCUUUGCGCAGAGGCGAUAACGUGACCAAUGAGGCUNAUUGCUGGUUGAAAACUUUUCCCAAUUGCCCGCGAUGGCCCCUGAAACUUGUGUGUCGAACGCAAUUUUUGAACGCCCCCAGGGG
rnacentral:snRNA from 1 species